rnacentral:rRNA from 1 species
AACGCUGGCGGCAGGCCUAACACAUGCAAGUCGAGCGGUAGCACAGAGAGCUUGCUCUCGGGUGACGAGCGGCGGACGGGUGAGUAAUGUCUGGGAAACUGCCUGAUGGAGGGGGAUAACUACUGGAAACGGUAGCUAAUACCGCAUAAUGUCGCAAGACCAAAGUGGGGGACCUUCGGGCCUCAUGCCAUCAGAUGUGCCCAGAUGGGAUUAGCUAGUAGGUGGGGUAACGGCUCACCUAGGCGACGAUCCCUAGCUGGUCUGAGAGGAUGACCAGCCACACUGGAACUGAGACACGGUCCAGACUCCUACGGGAGGCAGCAGUGGGGAAUAUUGCACAAUGGGCGCAAGCCUGAUGCAGCCAUGCCGCGUGUAUGAAGAAGGCCUUCGGGUUGUAAAGUACUUUCAGCGGGGAGGAAGGCGAUAAGGUUAAUAACCUUGUCGAUUGACGUUACCCGCAGAAGAAGCACCGGCUAACUCCGUGCCAGCAGCCGCGGUAAUACGGAGGGUGCAAGCGUUAAUCGGAAUUACUGGGCGUAAAGCGCACGCAGGCGGUCUGUCAAGUCGGAUGUGAAAUCCCCGGGCUCAACCUGGGAACUGCAUUCGAAACUGGCAGGCUAGAGUCUUGUAGAGGGGGGUAGAAUUCCAGGUGUAGCGGUGAAAUGCGUAGAGAUCUGGAGGAAUACCGGUGGCGAAGGCGGCCCCCUGGACAAAGACUGACGCUCAGGUGCGAAAGCGUGGGGAGCAAACAGGAUUAGAUACCCUGGUAGUCCACGCCGUAAACGAUGUCGAUUUGGAGGUUGUGCCCUUGAGGCGUGGCUUCCGGAGCUAACGCGUUAAAUCGACCGCCUGGGGAGUACGGCCGCAAGGUUAAAACUCAAAUGAAUUGACGGGGGCCCGCACAAGCGGUGGAGCAUGUGGUUUAAUUCGAUGCAACGCGAAGAACCUUACCUGGUCUUGACAUCCACAGAACUUAGCAGAGAUGCUUUGGUGCCUUCGGGAACUGUGAGACAGGUGCUGCAUGGCUGUCGUCAGCUCGUGUUGCGAAAUGUUGGGUUAAGUCCCGCAACGAGCGCAACCCUUAUCCUUUGUUGCCAGCGGUUAGGCCGGGAACUCAAAGGAGACUGCCAGUGAUAAACUGGAGGAAGGUGGGGAUGACGUCAAGUCAUCAUGGCCCUUACGACCAGGGCUACACACGUGCUACAAUGGCAUAUACAAAGAGAAGCGACCUCGCGAGAGCAAGCGGACCUCAUAAAGUAUGUCGUAGUCCGGAUUGGAGUCUGCAACUCGACUCCAUGAAGUCGGAAUCGCUAGUAAUCGUAGAUCAGAAUGCUACGGUGAAUACGUUCCCGGGCCUUGUACACACCGCCCGUCACACCAUGGGAGUGGGUUGCAAAAGAAGUAGGUAGCUUAACCUUCGGGAGGGCGCUUACCACUUUGUGAUUCAUGACUGGGGUGA